CCUACGGGAGGCAGCAGUGGGGAAUUUUGGACAAUGGGGGAAACCCUGAUCCAGCCAUCCCGCGUGAGUGAAGAAGGCCUUCGGGUUGUAAAGCUCUUUCGAAAGUGAAGAAAACUUAUUUCAUAAUAUGUUAUGAGUAUGACGGUAACUUUAGAAGAAGCACCGGCUAACUACGUGCCAGCAGCCGCGGUAAUACGUAGGGUGCGAGCGUUAAUCGGAAUUACUGGGCGUAAAGCGUGCGCAGGCGGUUUUGUAAGUCAGAUGUGAAAUCCCCGAGCUUAACUUGGGAACUGCGUUUGAAACUACAAGACUAGAGUGUGUCAGAGGGGGGUAGAAUUCCACGUGUAGCAGUGAAAUGCGUAGAGAUGUGGAGGAAUACCAAUGGCGAAGGCAGCCCCCUGGGAUAACACUGACGCUCAUGCACGAAAGCGUGGGGAGCGAACAGGAUUAGAUACCCUGGUAGUCCACGCCCUAAACGAUGUCAACUAGUUGUUGGUGGAGUAAGAUCCAUGAGUAACGUAGCUAACGCGUGAAGUUGACCGCCUGGGGAGUACGGUCGCAAGAUUAAAACUCAAAGGAAUUGACGGA
rnacentral:rRNA from 1 species